GUAUUCUGCAACUUGUAGUUAGCCUACCGAGUUUAACAGGCUGUGCUAGUUUCUUUGCCAUUGUAGCGAUUGAGCGUGUUUCGAGCACAGAUAUAUAUUAUAGUUUUUCAAAUUAACUUAAUGCAUAAAGACCGAAUAUUAAACAGUCGUGUUGCGUAACUAUUCCAUCUGGCGUAACUGUGCAGGAAACUAUCUGCCCAGUCUGCCCGUUCGGCGAACAGACGCCACUUUUCAGUGUAAAACGUUCUUUCCUGUUACUGCUUUGUGUUUUAUGCUAUAAAAGCCCCCCUAUAUUCUGUGUUGCGAGGGCAGUAGGAGCUCUCUUACACUCUUGCUGUCCUCACGUUUGUCCCUAGCCUGAUGCCGCUCGUUUGUCCGCUAAUAAAAUGAGUUGUUGCCUUUUAGCGUUAUGGAGUCGCUACGUUGCGAUGGGUGCUAGCGUGAACGAAUCUACUGCACCCCCCUCCACGAUGCGUUGAGAUGGGCGCGACCGUUGAACCUUACUUACAUUACCGGACCCCCUACACCAUGUAAACUUCAUAUAUAUAACGUCGAACCGAUAUUUUUCUGUUGUUUUUAUCUCAAAUUAAAGUCAUAUUGACCCCUGCCUAUUUUCUUCAUGCUUAUAUCUCAGCGUUUUUUUUACAAAACUAUAACUAAUUUUAUGAGACAAAGUCAAACUGUACGGAAUAUUCAAGGUUGUUUUAUGAAGCUAAGAAACUAGUUUAGUCGUUCGCACACCCAAACAAAAAAUUCAUUGGCUUUACUAUGAUUUAGCAAGCAUUAAAAAAUAGCACCUUACUAUUUUGCAUUUUUUACUUGUUUAAAGUAUAGUGUUUCUAUUUUACAUACUUUUUUAAUAUUUAAAAGCAGUAAUCAGCUUUGACGAGCGUUUUAUAAAGCCGUGAUAAUACUGUCGAAUAAUUCUGUAACCUUAUUUUCCUGAUUAUCAUUAAAUGGGGGUCCGUAAAAAGAAAAUUAAAAAAAGUCUCGUAUGA